GCUUCUUCAUACAAACUUAUCCUACCGGGGGAGGACUGCUAACUCUACCACUUGGGCUAGGGGAUUCUAAUUUAAAGGUGGUUGGGAUUCUAUAUCAGGUAUGAAUACCAUUCAAAUCCUCUAUGCCUAAUCUAGACCUAAUCAUGUCGAGAGCGAAAGAAGACGCAACACCAUGCCCUUCACCUGCACAGAUAAGGCCCCC
rnacentral:lncRNA from 1 species